rnacentral:lncRNA from 1 species
CCUUGGAGGCGCUGCCGGAGGAGUUGUGCUCAUUGGGUCCCUAUGGCUGUGGGAGCAGCAGCACCAGCUUUGAGGACGACCUGACGCUGGGAGCUGAAGGUAGCAGCCACCCCUGGGGGUCCCUUCCUGUCCCCAACGCUCUGAGCAUCCCUGGAGGAUGCAGGGACAGGGAGCACACCUAUGGGGACAGGCUGUUUGUCCCGGAUGGUUUCACUGUGUGGAUGGGGCUGCAGACACAGGGCCUGUCCCCAAAGCUCCCCAGUCGUCCCCUCCCAUUCCCUGCCACCUCUCUGCUUCCUUUUUGCAGCUCUUCUGCUACCAGGGAACAAUAAAACCUUCGGCAGGGCUCUGCAGGGCAGACGCCUCAGCCUGGGGCACAGCAUGGCAUCCAGCGCGCCCUCCGGCCUCACCAACCUGACCAGCUCCAGGUG